rnacentral:tRNA from 1 species
CGGGAUGUGGCCUAGUCUGGUAAGGCGUCGGUCUGGGGGACCGAAGAUCGUUGGUUCAAAUCCAAUCAUCCCGACCA